rnacentral:rRNA from 1 species
GUGUCAGCCGCCGCGGUAAUACGAAGGGGGCUAGCGUUGCUCGGAAUCACUGGGCGUAAAAGGCGCGUAGGCGGCGUUUUAAGUCGGGGGUGAAAGCCUGUGGCUCAACCACAGAAUGGCCUUCGAUACUGGGACGCUUGAGUAUGGUAGAGGUUGGUGGAACUGCGAGUGUAGAGGUGAAAUUCGUAGAUAUUCGCAAGAACACCGGUGGCGAAGGCGGCCAACUGGACCAUUACUGACGCUGAGGCGCGAAAGCGUGGGGAGCAAACAGGAUUAGAAACCCUCGUAGUCC